rnacentral:rRNA from 1 species
CCUACGGGUGGCAGCAGUGGGGAAUAUUGCACAAUGGGGGAAACCCUGAUGCAGCGACGCCGCGUGAGUGAAGAAGUAAUUCGUUAUGUAAAGCUCUAUCAGCCGGGAAGAAAGUGACGGUACCUGAGUAAGAAGCCACGGAUAACUCCGUGCCAGCAGCCGCGGGAAUACGUAGGGGGCAAGCGUUAUCCGGAUUUACUGGUUGUAAAGGGAGCGUAGACGGCAGUGCAAGUCUGGAGUGAAAGGCGGGGGCUCAACCCCCGGACUGCCCUGGAAACUGGACGGCUGGAGUGCAUGAGAGGUAAGUGGAAUUCCUGGGGUAGCGGUGAAAUGCGUAGAUAUUAGGAGGAACACCAGUGGCGAAGGCGGCUUACUGGACUGUAACUGACGUUGAGGCUCGAAAGCGUGGGGAGCAAACAGGAUUAGAUACCCUAGUAGUC